GGAUUGUUAGCUCAGAUGGGAGAGCAUCUGCCUUACAAGCAGGAGGUCAGGGGUUCAAGUCCCUUACAAUCCA
rfam:Mycoplasma haemofelis Ohio2, complete genome.